GUCAGGAGAUCGAGACCAUCCUGGCCAACACGGUGAAACCCUGUCUCUACUAAAAAUACGAACAAACAAAAACAUCUCUGGACCAAUCUGGUCUUAAUUUCUUCUAUCCAGGCCUUUUGGUUCUCCCUGGCUGGCCAUGGGCUUCACUUCUCUGAUGGCUCAAUUCAUUCUUUCCUAAGAUCUUCAAGUUUAUAGUGAAAUUUUCUCUCAAGUGAGCUUUUUUCCUGCUUAUUCCAAGGCUGAUUUAAUUAUAACCAUUCUUUAAGUAAAAAAGGACUUAUUUAUUCAAAAAUUCUGAGUACCUUUUUCAUGCUAGGCAGCACUGAGAAUGUCAUGGUGAGUAAAAUGAAUAAAGGCUGUGCCCUUAUAGAGCUUACAUUCUUGUGGGGAAUCAGCAGACUUAAAAUGUUUUAAACUGUCAGAUACUAGUAAAUUCAACAAAGGGGAAAAAAAGCAAGGCAAGUGAAGGUCUGUAUUAUAGAGAAUAAUGGGAGAGAUGGAGAAAAAGGGUUGCAGUAUUUCCAAAGCCUUGAGAAAGGAAAACAGGACCUAUAUGCACUUAUCAACUUAAAAGACUUGAUUCAAUAGUAAGAACUUUUUGGUUUGUUUUUUGUUUUUUGGUUUUUUUUUUUUUUUUUUUUUGGUCAUUUGCUGUAUUUUAAAACCUCGUUCAAACUAGGUGGACAGGAAGUAACUCAUGGGUGAUUAUGGCUUCAAAAGUCUGCUUUUUGUCAUAUUGAUUGAGCAGUGAACAGUUCCUAGUUAAGUACCAUAAGAUGGUGCUGUUAAGGUUUGUUGUUUUUUUUCUGUUUCAAAGCUCUUAAGGCUUUUGGGGGGAAUAAUACACGUAUCUUUACCAAAUAAAGUGAAAUAUAUUUAAAAUAAUUAUAUUUUAGAAUAUCAAUAAUACAAACUUUUAAAUCAAUGUGUAAAAUGUUUUGCUGGUAAAAGCACAAUGAUUAUGGGAAGAAACAAACUCAUUGUACUAGGUUUAAAAUGUUUUGGGAACAUGAAACCAAAAUGUCACAGUCUGAGGGAAAGCGUGCCAAGCAUUAUUAACAUAAAAGAGGUUAAAUAGGUGAGAGAUUAAGUUUACAGAUUAAAUUGGAAAUAAAUGAAUCUUUGUUUUUGUCACAGGAAAGAUCCCCCCAGGGAGAGGAUACUAAAAUGUAGCUAGAAGUGCAAAAUGUUUUAGUAGAGCUUAACUCCAGCGAAAGGAGAAGGAAGGGUGCAGAAUUAGGGGAAACUGUCAGACAGUGAUGCAGAGUUGACAAAGUUGCUGUCAGCCUAGUGGGAGCUUCGGAGCAGAGACUCCCUGAUAGAGUGGUAUGUUAGGCAGAAAUGGCUAGACCACUGUCCCACUGCAUUGUCAGGUAAUUGGCUGGGGAUCACCUCACCUGGCCAGAAAGUUGAGGUAAACUCUGACAAAGCCAAUAACGAGGCUAUCAGCUAGCCACAGCUGGGUAGCAAGUCUUGCAGCUGGUAGCACGUCCUUUCUUGAGGGGAGAUCUGAGCAUCACAUCUCUGCCAAAAUUUAUAAAGAAAACAUCCUAUUUAUAGAAUUAAAAUGAAGAAGUCCUAUAUAAUUUGCUUAGAAUGAUUAUACUGUGAUUACUUGAACUGCAAAGUUAGAAGUAACUUAGGUGCUCAGUAAAUGGUACAUUUCUGAAGGGUAAAGUUGGAAGAAAAAGAUUAUUAUUUUUGCUUGAAUUUUGCUCUGAAUAGCAGAGCAGUUGUUCUCAUUAUGUGCUAUUUGCUGGUGCAGAAGAUCAGUCUUUGAACAUAGUAAUAAGAAAUAUACAUUUAUUUAUUCAAAGGAAGGCAUGUGCCAGAUGCUGGAUUACAUCAGAAUGAGCAAGAAAAAUACAGCAUCUGUCCAGGUGGAACUUACAGUCUGGUGAAUACACACAAAUAGGUAAAUUCUCUUUGCUGUAGGAGCAACACCUAAACCCAGAUUUGAGCUACUGGAAAAGUUGAAAAUUAACAUGCAGCUUGCUUAUUUCUGUUGGACAACACUACUGUAGACCAGCGGGUCUCAAACAGAGCAGAGAGUUUAUGAACACACAGAUUGCUGGGCCCUAAAAAUUUAGUUCCUAGUUAAGUACCUUUAUAUUUUGCUUAGAAAGAUUAUACUGUAUUUGUUAAUGUUUAUUUGAAUUGUGAAGUGUGAAGUAACUUUCUGAUUCAGUAGGUCUGUAUGAGGUCUGAGAGUUUGAAUUUCUGACAGGUUCCCAGGUGGUACUGGAUGCUGCUGAUCCAAUGACCACAUUUUAAGAACCACUGCUUUAGACCAGGCCCUAAGUAGGGCCAGAUAGGGGGAAAUAGUUUCAAAGCAGCAUGAUGCCACCGCUCGACUGAAGGCCAAGGAGCUGCCUUUGGGUAAUGGAUGGCACCUCCUCUUCAUAAAGUCCAUUUCUUCAGAUGCCUCCUGUGGUGGAUGAACCUUUGCAUAUGUCAUUAAGUGCUUAUGUUGUCAACUGCUCCAUCUCAGAAAAAAAGUUUUCUCUUGACAGUGGAGUGUGAGCACACAGAGCACUCAAGGUCUAACCAGGUUAAUAGGUAGGAACAGCUAUAAAUCAGAGUCCCCAGCACUGUCUGCACUAUUUUAACUGAGAUGAUAGGAAAAUAGGUAACAAGUUUAACCCCCCAUGGCAACUGCUGUACUGAUAUCUUCACAUACACUUUACACUUGUAUAAUAACAUAUUUCAACUUUCAAAAGUGGCCUCACAUCUAUCAUCUCAUUUUACUCUAACAAGGACCCCACCCACCUCCCGGAUCUUUUAAUAUCAUAACCAGAAAGAGCUGACUAAGUCAACAAGGGAAGGUACCAUGCUGGGUGCUUUAUACAUAUGACUUCCAGCGCUGACAACGAUCCAUUCUGGUAGAUAUUAUUGUCUCCUUGUAAUAGGGCCCAGCUGGGAUUGAACUGAAGUGUGUCUAGCUCUAAAACCCUUGUACUUUCAACUGGGUCAUCAUACACUUAUCCUAUGUUCUAAUUCAUUAUUAAAAGUCAAUCUUUCCUAUGGAUAAUGGUUACUUUGAGAGGUGGGGGUAGUGACCAGAAAGGGAUGUAAAGGGGGUUGCUGGUAAUGUUGUUUUUUCAUUUGGAUACUACUUAGAUGAGCGUGUACCCUUUGGGAAAGCCCACUGAGUUGUACACUUAGGAUUUGUGCACUUUAUGUAUGUUUGUAAGAAAUAUUUCAAUAGGAAACAUUUUAAAGCUAGUUUUUCUUUUGAAGGUGUAAGCUUUUUACUUACUUGUCUCCAAAAUCUAACUCUUUAUGUGCCUGUAUGUUGCAGUGGAAAAAGUGAGCUCAUGAUCAUUUUGCUUAUUUACAAUGGAUAAAUGAGAUCCAAAUACACAGAAUCAAGGGAAGGAGUUGCUUCUUCUAAGAGUGAUGCUUAAUCUUUUGGGUCAUGGAUGAAUUGAAGAUUUGAUUAAAGUUACAAUAAAAA
rnacentral:lncRNA from 1 species